CAUUGUUUGAAGGGUAGUCUAUUCUUCUCCCUCGAUAUUACUUCCUUAACAAAAAUCUCACACAGGCUCUGUAUGUUCAUUUUUAGAAUAGUCAGAGAUCCUGCAGAAAAAGCGAUGCCAUUUUUCACAACAUACGUCAUCGACCGUCUUCUGUAGAAGUGAGCAAAGCAAACCUCUGGUGGCCCUUGAACGCGCAAGCUGAUGGCGGAGAGAGGUGGUUAGUGUUGCGGCCGCUGCUUCAGAGAGGGUCAGAUCUAUAAAGAGAUCUGGGCAAGGAAGUCAAAGACCCUGUGGAUAUACAGGAAUCUAUCCUUCGGACUCCAGUGUUGUGAGCAUUUGGAUGCAUUAAUGAGAGAACAUUGCAAGGGGGCAGAGGAAAGAAAAGGGAGAAAACAAAUAAGGCCACAGUGAAGUCGUUCUAAAAGUUAUACACAGGCAAACCAGGAAAAAAGCCCAACAAGACCCCAGAAAUGAGGAAAGCAGGAGCCCUGAAUUCAUUCCUCUUCAGCAUAAAUAGUUCAUCUGAGUUGUCUUAAAAGGUGCGUUAUCUUCCUAUAGUUUUUUGACUGUAGGUUUUAUAGUUUCCAGUACACAACUGCUCAGCAGAUGAGUUUUGAAGGAUUUAGAGAAUUGCCUGGUGGUACUGAG